rfam:Triticum aestivum genome assembly, contig: Triticum_aestivum_CS42_TGACv1_scaffold_542727_6DS
AAGACACUCCCUCCGUCUGGAAAUACUUGUCAUCAAAAUGGAUAAAAAAAGAUGUAUCGACAUGUAUUUUAGUUCUAGAUACAUCCCUUUUUAUCCUUUUUGAUGACAAGUAUUUUCGGACGGAGCGACUACUAG